CCUACGGGUGGCAGCAGUGAGGAAUAUUGGUCAAUGGUCGGGAGACUGAACCAGCCAAGCCGCGUGAGGGAUGAAGGUACAGAGUAUCGUAAACCUCUUUUGUCAGGGAACAAAGGCGGGGACGUGUCCCCGGAUGAGUGUACCUGAAGAAAAAGCAUCGGCCAACUCCGUGCCAGCAGCCGCGGUAAAACGGAGGAUGCGAGCGGUAUCCGGAUUUAUUGGGUUAAAAGGGUGCGCAGGGGGUCUGUUAAGUCAGCGGUAAAAUGCCGGGGGUCAACCCCGGACCGCCGUUGAAACUGGGAGGCUUGAGUUUGGAUGAAGUAUGCGGAAUGCGCGGGGUAGCGGUGAAAUGCAUAGAUCUCGCGCAGAAC
rnacentral:rRNA from 1 species